ACUGCAGACCGCCUUAUCGUCGUUUUACUUUAAGUAGUAAAAGGGAGGAAAGUCCGGACACCGUAGAGAAGCGUAGCGGGUAACACCCGUCAGUUUGAUUAGGAGUUUCUCCUAAUUAGAUUAGGACAAGUGCAACAGAAAGUAUGUACAGGUAAUGCUGUAGUGAAACCAGGUAAACUCUACGCGGUGAAAUACCAAGUAUAUCAGCAUUUAAGGGCGUCUCGUUCGUUGCUGAAGGGUAGGUAGCUUGAGCUUACGAGUAAUUGUAAGUCUAGAUAAAUGAUAAGGUAACACUGAAUUUUAGUGUUAACAGAAUCCGGCUUAUAGGUCUGUUUUUUUU
rnacentral:RNase_P_RNA from 2 species